GACGAGGGAUCCUAGCGUUGUUCGGAAUCAUUGGGCGUAAAGCGGGUGUAGGCGGGCUUCUAAGUCAGGUGUGAAAUCCCAGGGCUCAACCCUGGAAGUGCACUUGAUACUGGAAGUCUUGAAUGUGGUAGAGGCUAUUAGAAUUCUUGGUGUAGUUGGUGAAAUACGUAGAUAUCAAGAGGAAUACCGGAGGCGAAGGCGGUUCUCUGGGCAUGAUCUGACGCUGAGGAGCGAAAGUGUGGGGAGCGAACAGG
rnacentral:rRNA from 1 species